UACCGCAAUUCCGCGGGGCGUCCGCAAGGUCUGAGCAAGAGCCCUCUUUUCUGGGGUUUAACAAUGCUACGCAUCCUACAAUCCUACAAUUCUACACAUUUUGCCAUGAGGCUGAGAGAAAAUGUUGCUGUUUUAAAGCUAAUUUCAGUACUUGUUCCAUUUACAACUUGUUUUAGUCCUCUGGUCUACUGAUUUCAGCCACUGCAUGCUGUGACAUGGACUGGAUGGUGACACAUCUUCUUCAAACUUCCUGAUUGAAUACUGGGGUCUUCAGUGGUUCCAGAAGCAAGGCACUUACCGUGGAGUACAGCCACAUUCUCUUUCUGUCUCACAGCCAUUCUGUCAACAUGUAUUGUAUGUAACCACUCAAAGUCAUGCAAACCUCUACAGAUGUGAGCGCUGACAUAUUCACUCUGUCCAAUUCUUUAAUCUUGUCUGGGAUACACACCGAGUAUAACAAACAUUAGCAACUCCUUCCAAAUAUUGAGUUGAAUCCCCCCCAUUUUGCCCUAAGAACAGACUCAAUUCAUCGGGGUAUGGACUCUACAAAGUGUCGAAAGCAUUCCACGGGAAUGCUGGCCCAUGUUGACUCCAAAGGACCCCACAGCUGUCAAGUUGGCUGGAUGUCAUUUGGGGGGUGGACCAUUCUUGAUACACAUGAGAAACUGAUACACACAGGAAACAACCCAGCAGCGUGUCCGUUCUUAAAACAAACCGGUGAGCCUGGCACCUACUACCAUACCCCGUUCAAAGACACUUAAAACUUUUGUCUUCUCUAUUCACCCUCUGAAUGGCACAAUCCAUGUCUCAAUUGUCUCAAGGUAUAAAACUCCUUCUUUAAUCGGUCUCCUCCCCUUCAUCUACACUGAUUGAAGUGGAUUUAACAAGUGACAUCAAUAAGGAGUUAUAGCUUUCACCUGGAUUCACCUGGUCAGUCUGUGGAAAGAGCAGGUGUUCUUAAUGUUUUAUAUACUCAGUGUAUGUUUUAGUUGAGAUACCUGUAUGACAUACACUAAUGAAAAUGUAUUCACUCUGGACAUGAGACUUUAUUUUAGACCUUUUAAAUAUUGAAAGUCACUGAGGUCUUCAGUAAGGCUAUUAUACUGCCAAUGUUUGUCUAUGGUGAUUGCAUGAAUAGCCGAAUCCACUAAUUUGAAGGAGUGUCCACAUACUUUUGUAUAUAGAGUGUCUCUCCAAUUUACAAUGUCCGAUUGAAAAACAAAGUGACAUAUCAGAUUCAUACAUGUACUUCUCAUUUUAUAUAUAAUAUUUUUGUAUUUAUUAUUUUAUUAUUAUGAUUAUUUAUUUAAUAAUGCAUUUUUAAAAUAUAUUUUUGGAGGUGAAACAUGGGCUUUAAUAAUGUAGUAUUACUAUUGUUAUUGUUGGUCCCGUGUAUCUCAGUUAGUAGAACAUGAUGCUUGCAACGCCAGGGUUGUGGGUUUGAUUCCCAUGGAGAACCAGUAUGAAGUUGUAUGCCCUCACUGGAUAAGAUUGUCUACUUAAAUGUUAUUAUUGUGUUGUAUGGCAACAUACUACAAUUAAAAUAAUGUGUCCCUCUGUUCGUGUAUUGCCCAACUGUUAGCUCAAGCUGUAGAAGACCUCACUUCCUCCAGAUUCUGUCUUGUUUUGGAUGCAGGUCUGCUGCAGGGGGGGAGUGCUCCAACCUCUCCUCAGAGGUGUGAAGUAUCUGUUUACAUGACACACCUCUGAUCUCUCAUGGGACCUUUGACCCGCCAAUCAUCACCCCUGACCCUGGCCUGGGCAUAUCAGAACAUUAGGCCGGGACGGAUAUAUAAGGGGUCAGCCAACCCAAGCCGGGGUCAUGUCAGUCUCACUUUUCCAGAGAAAGGAUUACAUCACAAAGAGCUCAACUUUUUCCAUGGACUCAUUCCUACAUGAACUGGAUUACAAAAUCGGAAACUCCCUGGUGUGUUGUGAAGAAAAAAUAAUUAAUUCACCAUAAAGCUGUGUGUGUCUGAAGUAUAAUAAAAUGUUCAAAUUGA